UCCGUGUGUUUGAAUAAAAUUUGAUAUUAUUAUUAUAGUAUUUUUCAUGAAAUUAUGAAUUAUAGAAAUAUUAAAGAUGAUAUAAAAGAAAAUCUAACCAAGAUUAACUUAUCAACUUAAAUUAACUUAUACAUAAUGCGAUAGUAAAAAUCGACUGUGUCCUCUUCAGAGAUUAUUAAUAUACCUACGUUGUGGUAUUACGAUUUAUUGACUUUUGGAACUGAAGAAGAGGAGUAGGAAUAUCAGGUAUUAAUGUAGUGAGUAAUAUUUUUAAGUGCACAUUUAUCAAAUAAAUAAUUUACCUUAUUUUUUAUUUAAAAUUAUUCUGUAUAUUUUAUAUAAUAGUAGGCUCCAAAGUUGUUAUCAGUUAAAUCAACUAUAGAAACACAUAAAAUAUAAGCAAAUAAAAAAAAACAAAUAAGAAAUAAUUCCUACAUUAUUUCAAGUAUCUACAACAUACCUGCUUGUAUAUGAAUCAAUUAUUAGUUUUACAUUAUUUUUAACACAUUUGCAAUGUCUACAAGUCUCUAUAGUGUAUAGGCACAUGUUUAGAUAUUAAAGAUUAAUUUGUUUUCAUAUUUUAAUAGGGAAAUACCAAUAAAUGUACAUUACAAGAAUCUACAAGUGUUGGCAUUGAUAGUUGUAAUAAAGUAUCAACUGACAUGUUUGAAAUGGAAAAAUUCAUAAAAGUGAAUGACGAAGAAGAAAAAAGUAAAUAUCAUUGUGGCAAUUAUCUUUUGAGUACGUAUUUUUCUCUCUUUUGUCUAAUCUCACCCCCUAAAUUUAUCCACACGCAAAAGAAAAAUAAGGUACAACAAAUUUUGGUUCAGGAUAUUUAUGUUAACUCAACUUGAAUUUAAAAUUUGAAUACAAUCUCAUAAUAAGAGUACGGAUGUUGUUUCAUUUGCAACUUUUUUUCCAUCUUUUCAAUUUAUUGCUAACUAAGUUUCAAAUACGUUUCAUGUAGUCGACACUCGACAAUCGUGUAGAUAAGAUUAUACUAAAACAGGGAUGGGCAUCCCAAAUGUACUAAAGGGCCAGUUUUUGACAAUUAAAAUCUAUGCGAGCUAGAGCAUAGCAAAAAGAAAAAAAAAAUUAUUCAAAGUAUAUAUGUAUUUAAAUUAGUAUUUAUUUAGCAUAAUUUGAAUUAACAGUAAAUAUAAAGAAAGGUUAUUGAAAAUAAUUAAAUUAAAUAAAAUAAAAAUAACACUAUUACUACUUGUUCAAUGUGACAUUUGUGACUGCUAAUGAUAACGCAGCAAAAUCGAUUACUAUUUCAGAAGUGGAAACACAAAGUAGGUGACUUAAUGUUUCAUCAGUAAGACAAUUUUUUUGCUUUGAUUUUAUAUGUUUCAUAUUUGAAAAUGUACAUUCACAAAUGUAGGUAGUUCCAAAUAUGGAUAACAUUUUUAACGCAAACUCUCAUAAAAGAGGAUAUUUGUUAACAGGUAAUUUUUUUCAAAAGCUUACAUCAAUAUCUUUCGUGGAUAAUAAUGAGUCAGUUUGCAACUCGCAUAAUUCUGAUUGAAGUGCAGCAUCUUGCUUUUCAAUUUCAACUGCCAUUGGAUUAUUAAACAAAUUUAUUUGAGGACGCGUAAGUU